CACUCCUCCUGGGGGUGGAACCUCCACCCACACCGAGCCAUGAGGGUUCUCCAGCUGCUCCUGGCAGUCCUUGUCAUUCUCCUCCUCCAGGGCACUCCGGGUAAGGACAAAAUCCUCACAGGGCUUCCUGCAGGACUGUGGAGAGAGAAAAGGCAGGUUCCUGCUCUUCUGAGGUAGAAGAGGACAAGACAGGGCCCCCACGUCAAGGCUGAGCUAACUCGUGGUUCCAAGGAAAAAAUUUCUCCUGGGAUGGUCUCCAUGAAGUUCCUGGAGGCAGCUGUCCUGAGAUCAUGGACUGUGCAUCCCCUCUUCUCUGCACCCUCAAAACUCACCCAGAAAUGCUGAGCCUAAGACAGGAACCUGAGCUUUGCUCCUGACCAGGAUAAAAGCCUCAUCCUCCACCAAACAAGGAGAAUCCCAUUAAAUUAUCCAUGAGUGGAAUACAGAUGUGGCAAAUGCAGGAAGAUGCAAGUGUGGCCAGAAGGUUGAGGGAGGUGAUUUUCACCCUCUGAUCUGCUCUGCAGCCAGAGGCCUUUCAGACACGCAGCAGUGCAGGAACAGCCGUGGCCACUGCCGGAGGCUGUGCUUCCACAUGGAGCGCUGGGAAGGGAACUGCAGCAGCGGCCGCCUGCGCUGCUGCCGGUGACAGCGGCCACCCC